CUUUCGGGAGGCCGGUCGGUCCCCGCAGGUGUGUCCUGGCCGGGCUGUUCUUCCUCGCAAAGACUGCGUGUGCUCUUAGCUGAGUGUGCGCAGGACUUGCGACGUUUACUUUAAAAAAAUUAGAGUGUUCAAAGCAGGCCAUCGCUUGAAUACAUAAGCAUGGAAUAAUGGAAUAGGACUUUGGUUCUAUUUUGUUGGUUUCUGGAACCGAAGUAAUGAUUAAGAGGGACAGUUGGGGGCAUUCGUAUUUCGUUGUCAGAGGUGAAAUUCUUGGAUUUACGAAAGACGAACUACUGCGAAAGCAUUUGCCAAGAAUGUUUUCAUUAAUCAAGAACGAAAGUUAGAGGAUCGAAGACGAUCAGAUACCGUCCUAGUUCUAACCAUAAACGAUGCCGACUAGGGAUCAGAGAGUGUUAUUGGAUGACCUCUUUGGCACCUUAUGGGAAACCAAAGUUUUUGGGUUCCGGGGGAAGUAUGGUUGCAAAGCUGAAACUUAAAGGAAUUGACGGAAGGGCACCACCAGGAGUGGAGCCUGCGGCUUAAUUUGACUCAACACGGGGAAACUCACCAGGUCCAGACAUAGGAAGGAUUGACAGAUUGAGAGCUCUUUCUUGAUUCUAUGGGUGGUGGUGCAUGGCCGUUCUUAGUUGGUGGAGUGAUUUGUCUGGUUAAUUCCGUUAACGAACGAACGAUUUUUUCUGUGAAAAAAAAUACACCUGUAUGACAACUAAACCACUUAUCUCCUCCUCCCCCCUAGGAUGGAGGUUAGGAGAAACGAACGAAAAAAAAAAGAGAACAACUUUUAACGGUGGAUCUCUUGGCUCGUGCAUCGAUGAAGAACGCAGCCAGGUGCGAUAAGUAGUGUGAAUUGCAGAAUUCAGUGAAUCAUCGAAUCUUUGAACGCAAAUGGCGCUCUUGGGUUUUCCCAGGAGCAUGUCUGUCUAAGUGUCGGUUUCCAAAACGAGAACUCUCUCUUCUAAUCCCAGAUUAGGGACAGAGUUGUGUUGAGGUGUCGUGGUGGUUGCACACCGCGUCCCUUCAAAAGCAUAUGUGGGAUCCGUGUCGCGACAAUUCUAUCGCGUGCUCGGGAAGGCCAAAAGUCCAAUUCUUUUGCGAGUCCUUGCUGUGUGCGGAUAGAUCGCGGAUAGCGGAGCCUCUCGGCAAAGCAAAUGACAGAUGUUAUUUUUCACGUUGACCUCAGAUCAGGCAAGGCAACCCGCUGAAUUUAAGCAUAUUAAUAAGCGGAGGAAAAGAAACUAACAAGGAUUCCCCUAGUAAUGGCGAAUGAAGCGGGAACAGCUCAAAUUUAAAAUCUCCGUUGCUUGCAACGGCGAAUUGUAGUUUCGAGAAGCACUUUCUCGGCGGAUCCGAGGU
rnacentral:ncRNA from 1 species